rnacentral:rRNA from 1 species
UGGGGAAUUUUGGACAAUGGGGGCAACCCUGAUCCAGCCAUUCCGCGUGAGUGAAGAAGGCCUUCGGGUUGUAAAGCUCUUUUGUCGGGGAAGAAACGGUUUCAGUUAAUACCUGAGACUACUGACGGUACCCGAAGAAUAAGCACCGGCUAACUACGUGCCAGCAGCCGCGGUAAUACGUAGGGUGCAAGCGUUAAUCGGAAUUACUGGGCGUAAAGCGUGCGCAGGCGGUUGUGUAAGCCAGAUGUGAAAUCCCCGGGCUUAACCUGGGAAUGGCAUUUGGGACUGCACAGCUGGAGUGUGGCAGAGGAGACUGGAAUUCCUGGUGUAGCAGUGAAAUGCGUAGAUAUCAGGAGGAAUACCGAUGGCGAAGGCAGGUCUCUGGGCUGACACUGACGCUCAUGCACGAAAGCGUGGGGAGCAAACA